GAUGAACGCUGGCGGCGUGCUUAAUACAUGCAAGUCGAACGCUGAAGGAGGAGCUUGCUCUUCUGGAUGAGUUGCGAACGGGUGAGUAACGCGUAGGUAACCUGCCUGGUAGCGGGGGAUAACUAUUGGAAACGAUAGCUAAUACCGCAUGACAACAGUUAUUGCAUGAUAACUGUUUAAAAGGGGCAACUGCUCCACUACCAGAUGGACCUGCGUUGUAUUAGCUAGUUGGUGAGGUAACGGCUCACCAAGGCGACGAUACAUAGCCGACCUGAGAGGGGGAUCGGCCACACUGGGACUGAGACACGGCCCAGACUCCUACGGGAGGCAGCAGUAGGGAAUCUUCGGCAAUGGACGGAAGUCUGACCGAGCAACGCCGCGUGAGUGAAGAAGGUUUUCGGAUCGUAAAGCUCUGUUGUAAGAGAAGAACGAGUGUGAGAGUGGAAAGUUCACACUGUGACGGUAUCUUACCAGAAAGGGACGGCUAACUACGUG
rnacentral:rRNA from 1 species